GAUGAACGCUGGCGGCGUGCUUAACACAUGCAAGUCGAACGAUGAAGCCCAGCUUGCUGGGUGGAUUAGUGGCGAACGGGUGAGUAACACGUGAGUAACCUGCCCUUGACUCUGGGAUAAGCCUGGGAAAAUGGGUCUAAUACUGGAUAUGACUUCUCAUCGCAUGGUGGGGGGGGGAGAGAUUAAGUGGUCUUGGAUGGACUCGCGGCUUUUCCGCUUGUUGGGGGGGGAGUGGCUCCCCAAGGGGGCGACGGGUAGCCGGCCUGAGAGGGUGACCGGCCACACUGGGACUGAGACACGGCCCAGACUCCUACGGGAGGCAGCAGUGGGGAAUAUUGCACAAUGGGCGCAAGCCUGAUGCAGCGACGCCGCGUGAGGGAUGACGGCCUUCGGGUUGUAAACCUCUUUCAGUAGGGAAGAAGCGAGAGUGACGGUACCUGCAGAAGAAGCGCCGGCUAACUACGUG
rnacentral:rRNA from 1 species